rnacentral:rRNA from 1 species
GACGAACGCUGGCGGCGUGCCUAAUACAUGCAAGUAGAACGCUGAAGGAGGAGCUUGCUCUUCUGGAUGAGUUGCGAACGGGUGAGUAACGCGUAGGUAACCUGCCUGGUAGCGGGGGAUAACUAUUGGAAACGAUAGCUAAUACCGCAUAAGAGUAGAUGUUGCAUGACAUUUACUUAAAAGGUGCAAUUGCAUCACUACCAGAUGGACCUGCGUUGUAUUAGCUAGUUGGUGGGGUAACGGCUUACCAAGGCGACGAUACAUAGCCGACCUGAGAGGGUGAUCGGUCACACUGGGACUGAGACACGGCCCAGACUCCUACGGGAGGCAGCAGUAGGGAAUCUUCGGCAAUGGACGGAAGUCCGACCGAGCAACGCCGCGUGAGUGAAGAAGGUUUUCGGAUCGUAAAGCUCUGUUGUAAGAGAAGAACGAGUGUGAGAGUGGAAAGUUCACACUGUGACGGUAUCUUACCAGAAAGGGACGGCUAACUACGUG